rnacentral:tRNA from 1 species
GAGGAUAUAGCUUAGUGGUAGAGCGAAUGCUUGGUAUGCACGAGGUCCUGGGUUCAAUCCCCAGUGCCUCCA